rnacentral:lncRNA from 1 species
CUUUUUGAAAAGUAAAACCUUUAAGAUGGCUUCUAUUUCUAGGCAGCUAAAAAAAAAUGACUUCCUCCCUCUCUGUUUACCUGGCAAGCCCGGGCAGUGCUGAGCACUCGCCCCGUGGUGACCAGCAGUCUCCACUCCAGUUCCAGGGUCCCCUACAGGACAGCAGCCUCCCCACCGAGGGUCCCAACAAACCUCAUUUGGGUCAAGGGACAGGAAGGAAGGGAAAGAGGCAACACCGGGUCCCUGCCGCCCAUGGCACCGCUUCCUGCACAGGCCACCAUCUCCGGGGAAGAAGCAGCCUCAGUCAGGCUGAACAAGAAGAAAAUGCGUGGGGAGGUCAAUGGCGAAGCUGCGAAGAGCAGAGGAAAUCUGGAUCACAGAGCACGGGAAGCCAGAACAAGCCUAGACUUCACAUUGCGCAAGUUAUUUAAGAAUUUAAAGUGAGGGGCCAGCCUCAAAUUAG